AGUGAGCAUCUGAGCCACAGCAAAUUUGUGGGUAUUAUUGGCUUUUUCAGACAUCAAAAGCAAACUGUGUGAAAGAUGAUGGAGGUGCUCAGACAAGAAUGGGGAAUGAAAAUGAGCAAAUAGAAGAUCAUGCUCAAUAAAAACACAAAAUGAUAAUCAGAAUAAAUGAGACUAUCAGUGCACAAGUAGAAGAAAAUCAACUAGGAACAUCUGUUCAGAUUCUGAGAACUGACCCUGGAAGAAUCAAAUAGGAUCUUCUUCAGUGGAGUUACUGCAGGCACUUCUAGAUGUAGUUUAAAGGAGUCUAUCCUGAAAGAUGAUGCUGUGAAAGUGC
rnacentral:lncRNA from 1 species